AUUGAACGCUGGCGGCAGGCCUAACACAUGCAAGUCGAGCGGCAGCGGGAAAGUAGCUUGCUACUUUUGCCGGCGAGCGGCGGACGGAUGAGUAAUGCCUGGGAAAUUGCCCAGUCGAGGGGGAUAACAGUUGGAAACGACUGCUAAUACCGCAUACGCCCUACGGGGGAAAGCAGGGGACCUUCGGGCCUUGCGCGAGUGGAUAUGCCCAGGUGGGAUUAGCUAGUUGGGGAGGUAAUGGCUCACCAAGGCGACGAUCCCUAGCUGGUCUGCGAGGAUGAGCAGACACACUGGAACGGAGACACGGACCAGACUCCUACGGGAGGCAGCAGUGGGGAAUAUUGCACAAUGGGGGAAACCCUGAUGCAGCCAUGCCGCGUGUGUGAAGAAGGCCUUCGGGUUGUAAAGCACUUUCAGCGAGGAGGAAAGGUUGAUGCCUAAUACGUAUCAACUGUGACGUUACUCGCAGAAGAAGCACCGGCUAACUCCGUGCCAGCCGCCGCUGUAACAC
rnacentral:rRNA from 1 species